GACAUCAUUUGUUCCCAUGGCCUUCUGGGCAAACUUCCUGAUCUCCUUGAUGGCAUUUGGUGCCUUCUUCUUGAAGGUACUGUGCACAAGAAUGAAGUUAGAAAACCAUGAGAAAGAUAGAUGAACAUUACAGCUCAAGCAACAUAGAAAUGUAAUAUAUAGAACACAAACACAAAACAAAGCAAAUGUGGAGUUCAUCUCAAUGUAGUGCCCAAAUGGAACACAUGACAGCAUAUGAAGGCAGCAAGUGUAACGAUGAGUAACAUCUAUGUACCGGACAUGUAACUGUAUCAACCACAAGUUUUAAAGACAGAUACCUGACUAUGACCGGCCAUAAUGGACUUAAGAUAAAAUGACAAUAUAGUUUCAAUGUCAAGCCCAAAUGGAACACAUGACAGCAUAUAAGGCAACAAGUGUAACGAUGAGCAACAUCUAUUUACCGGGCAUGUAACUGUAUCAACCACUAGAUUAUAGACAGAUACCUGACUAUGACCGGGCAUAAAGGACACGCUACGAUCAACUAACAAAAUAUAGUUUCAAUGUACAGCCCAAAUGGAACAUGUGGUAGCAUUGGUUGGCAACACAUGUAACGAUGAGCAACAACAUUUAUUUACCGGGCAUGUAACUGUAUCAACCACAAUUUUUAAAGACAGAUACCUGACUAUGACCGGACAUGAACAAAUAGAUUGCGAAAUCAAUUUUUAAUGUAGCGCCCAAAUGGAACACGUGAAAGCAUAUGAAGGCAACACAUGUAACGAUGAGCAACAUCAAUGUACCGGACAAGUAACUGUAUCAACCACAAUUUCAAGACAGAUACCUGACUAUGUCCGGGCACAACGCAUCAAUCAACUUACUAGGCGAACCAAGUAACUAACAAUGAUGAGCAAGGCAAAUACAAGAAUAACAAACAACAACCAUUGUUCAUCAUCAAGCAGAAAUGAUAGACAAUAUCAUGGCGAAAUAUACAGCCCAAAUGGAACACAUAUUAGCACUGAGAAAAGCCAUACGUGUAACGAUGAGCGGAGCUAAUCUCCCGGGCAUGUAACUGUGCUCAGCCACAUGAUUUAAAAGGCAGACACCUGACUAUACCCGAUUAACACCUAAUCAAGUGGCUCAGAUCGAAGAUCCAUGUGAAAAAUAUGGGAUCAGAUACAAGAGCAGCAUCCAAGAGAUCGGAAUACCGCUCGGUCAUGCGAUCCCUACUUUCAUCUAGCUGGAAGGAUUUCAUCCAUAGAGGUGUGACAGCCAUACACAAGCCCACAUAGUGCUCGCGGGCAGCAACCUUUCGCGCCAGCAUCUCCAACAGACGAGCCUGCAGGCGCCAUGGCGACACCCCGUGGAGCGCUGAGGUGGAAUCUGACUAGCGGAUCUACUGGGGUCGCGGAGCUCGGGAAUGGAGGGGGUGGGUGAGGAGGGAGGGAGGGUUAUACCAUCCGUGGAGGCGCUUGUGGAGGUUGACGGUGUACUCGCGGGUCACCACCUCGUCCUUGCGAGGGCCGGGGGCGCGCUUCUUCUCCGACAUCUCCGACGGCCUCCUUUCGCCCUGCUCCUCUCUCGGCUUCGAUGGAGGCUGCGGCGA
rnacentral:lncRNA from 1 species